UCGGGUGCAGUUGGAUCUGCG
rnacentral:miRNA from 1 species